rnacentral:rRNA from 1 species
CCUACGGGUGGCAGCAGUGGGGAAUAUUGGGCAAUGGGCGCAAGCCUGACCCAGCAACGCCGCGUGAAGGAAGAAGGCUUUCGGGUUGUAAACUUCUUUUCUCAGGGACGAAGCAAGUGACGGUACCUGAGGAAUAAGCCACGGCUAACUACGUGCCAGCAGCCGCGGUAAUAAGUGGGUGGCAAGCGUUACCGGGAUGUACUGGGUGAAAAGGGCGUGUAGGCGGGACUGCAAGUCAGAGGUGAAAACCACGGGCUCAACCUGUGGCCUGCAUUUGAAACUGUAGUUCUUGAGUGCUGGAGAGGCAGACGGAAUUCCUGGUGUAGCGGUGAAAUGCGUAGAUAUUAGGAGGAACACCAGUGGCGAAGGCGGUCUGCUGGACAGCAACUGACGCUGAGGCGCGAAAGCGUGGGGAGCAAACAGGAUUAGAUACCCGUGUAGUC